rnacentral:misc_RNA from 1 species
GAUGAAGAACGCAGCGAAAUGCGAUAAGUAAUGUGAAUUGCAGAAUUCCGUGAAUCAUCGAAUCUUUGAACGCACAUUGCGCCCCCUGGCAUUCCGGGGGGCAUGCCUGUCCGAGCGUCAUUUCUGCCCUCCAGCCCGGCUGGGUGUUGGGCGCUGUCCCCCCGGGGACACGCCCAAAAGGCAGUGGCGGCGCCGCGUCGGGUCCUCGAGCGUAUGGGGCUUUGUCACCCGCUCGGGACGGACUCGUCGGCGCUGGUCUUCCUCCAGGCGACCCUUCGGGGCUCGUCUUCCUUCGGUUGACCUCGGAUCAGGUAGGGUUACCCGCUGAACUUAAGCAUAUCAAUAAGCGGAGGA